CUACGGAGGGUGCAAGCGUUGUUCGGAAUUACUGGGCGUAAAGCGCGCGUAGGCGGUCUGUUAUGUCAGAUGUGAAAGUCCUCGGCUCAACCGGGGAAGUGCAUUUGAAACUGGCAGACUUGAGUACUGGAGGGGGUGGUGGAAUUCCCGGUGUAGAGGUUAAAUUCGUAGAUAUCGGGAGGAAUACCGGUGGCGAAGGCGACCACCUGGCCAGAUACUGACGCUCAGGUGCGAAAGCGUGGGGAGCAAACAGGAUUAGAUACCCCAGUAGUCC
rnacentral:rRNA from 1 species